AGGCGAUCGGCUGGUGGCUCCUCGCCGCCAUAUCCGGUGUCCGGAUCCUCCCUCGCGGCGGCGAUGACGCGUGCUUCGCUCCUGACCAGCGGUCUCUUCUCCUCACCCGCCGUCCUCGAUUCGUUUCCCUUCUUCUUCUGUUCCAACUUCCAACGCUGACCCAAGCAUCCUCUCCUUGCGAAUUACUCGCAUAGCAGUAACUAGCGGACGGGUGGCAAGUGGAAGCAGAGAUCGGUCUCUAUAUCCAUGUGGAUUCGCCCAGGUGGAAUGGAGUGCAUAGGAAAUGAAGAUUUCUGUUGAACCGAGGAAGAGAGCAAGGGAAGAACAGACCUUGGCUGCAUAGCUAUAGCCACCAGGAAUCUUCCCGGCCUCCAUAUGCAGGGAGUCGAACCUCUGCAGCCUCCUCGGGGGCGACGGCGGCACCUUCACCGACGCAAACGCAGAGCCCGCUUCAGCAGCCCCAUUGCCGUUUGUUUUCAGAGGCUCAGCCAUCGUGGAGGCACACACCGGGUGGGCCCAGGCAUGACAACAGCAGGCCCUGUGACGUCUCAACCAGAAGCCAGCCACACAUGCCAUCUCACCAUCAGACCCGUCAAGGGCUUUGAACAGUGUGUAACAGACGGCCCAAACCGGCAGGCAAAAGGAUUGACCCGCGGUGCCGUGCGCCCGACUCGAGCAGCCGUUCUAGGCGAGCGGAAGACGACAAGGCAACAGCAGGCCCGCCCGGUGGUUUCAACUCCCUUUCGUGCGAAUUGCGAUGCGAUUCUCCCAAGCCGGAAGGCGGGCUUGACCGGACACACUGACUGACCAUGUACUCCGUAUCAUGUAUGCAUGCUUUCUCGCGCACGCAGGAUCUUCCCGGAGAACGGUCGUCCUGAUGGUGGCAUCCCAAGUGAUAGGCCACUUGCCUCGCCAAAGUGGCCUGGCUCUUUUGACCGCAUGCACAUGCGCGUGAUCUGAUCACAUCACCGAGGCUUAGUCAGUCAGUCUCCGGUGCGUGUGGCAUGGGCAGUGGAUUAGGAGCGAGCAAGUAAACGCCGCAGCAUCGCUGCUGUGCUGCCAAUGUUCCACUGCCAGCGUAGCUUAUGGUGGUUUUACCAGUAAGUAUAGUUCAUUUUUGGGAUGCUAAUUACCAAUCAAGCGCACGCGGGAAUCUUUCGCCUCGGUAUUAUUUUGAACUCGCAAAAAUCUCCAUUUUUGAGUUUUGCUUUUGUAAGAAAUAAUUUGGGGGUUUCUUGAAUGGAAAUCGAGGAGGAGGCCUACCUUAUUUUAUUUUUUUGAGAAAGAGAAUCGCCUGAUGUUUCAAAACAAAAUCAAUAAAAAUCACAAGAGGGGAAAUAGUAUGCCUGUUGACUUCACUUGCUGCUGGUAAAGAAAAGCAUUUGGAAAAUCAUGGGCAUUUAAUUUUGCUUGAAAAACAUGGUGCGAUGGUCCAUGAAUGAAUGCUCGCUUGCUUUGUUUGCCGGUUGUUCUUGCUGGUGUUUCGUCAUCUAUGUAUUGAAUGAUGCUCGUGCGUAUGAUGACAUAGCCGUUAUUCGGGUUGUGAUCAUCACAUCCAGCUUCAGCCAUCUUCCUUGAAUCUUGACCCAUCUCCCCACCCCUACUUGCCAUUCCCAUGGUUUUCGUUUAUAUGGGAAAUUUGGGCUACUUUUCUGAUGACAUCACUUUUAAGCCCAUACGGUCACUUUUUUAGAAUUAUUGCCCAACUUUAUUAAUGCAUAAUGUUCAUAGGUACAAGGGUAUCAUCAUACGGAUUACACAACCAAACAUGGCGUCCUGUGUCUAGAUUACAUGCAAACUUGACGAGAUUGUGUGCUUCAAAAUUAAAAUUCCUAUGCUUGAAAAUAAAUUUACAAGAUUGAAACCUAGCCUUGCGCUCCAGUAUUUCAUGCAGAAUUGCACCGUGACUUCGUCCGGAACGUUGCUCAAUGUCAUUCACCACUACCUGACAAUCUGAGGCAACACAAAGCUUCUCUGCUCCUAGAUCAACCGCAAGUGACAUAGCCUCUUGACAGCCCAAAGCUUUUGCGCUCCUCUUUCGGUGGACACAAUAAGGCAACACUUUCGGUAGAUUUAACUACAGUAAGAGACCUCCUCUACAGAGUGAGCCACCGUGGACCAGAAUAAUGAGGAAGCAACGGUUUUCCUGGUUUGCGGGUCAUGGUUGACCGGUCCACAGUUGACCGGAUGACCAUUGACUUUUCAAGA